CCGAUUUCAAGGAACACCUAAAUCAAUGCCAGGAAACUUCCAGCAAGCUGAACGAAAGCCACUUACCCAAAGAACUCAUCUGAAAUGUUUCAAAUGCAAUCAAAUCGGACGUGUCUCCAGUCAAUGUAGAAAUUUUCAAACACCCAGCCAACAUCCGAGACCACCAGCAGUCCACAAUCUCGAGACACGCAACAUAGAAACAGAAACCCACGACGAAACGACGAAAGACCAAGAAAAAUUCCAAGAGUUAACACCACGACAGGCAAACUUCUCGCAAUACGAUUUAACACAAGAACUGGACAUAUAACACACCUCAUCGACACAGGAGCAGGAAUCAACCUAUUGAAGAAAAACAAAGUCAACAUUCCUCUUUGCCGGAAUAAUAUCCGCGCAAAUAAAUAUUACACCAUUAGUAGGAAACUCUGUUAUAUAGAAAACAUAAGAAAAGGUUAUUUGUAUAGCGAUACUUCUAAUAUUAUUGUAGGAUUAGAGACUAGCGACAUAUACGAGCAAAUAAGCACGAUAGAAUUAUAUAAAUCGACAAUGAACUCACGCGCAACCAGUAAAGAAUACGCUGAAGAGUUAGACGGAUUACAAAAUCGUAUCAAUAACCUGAAACAACUCGCAAAAUUCUUGAAAACGUUAAUACACACCCGAAGUAAACGAGGUUUACUCAACAUCAUAGGUUCCGUAUCGAAAAGUCUGUUCUCGACGAUGACGAUCUUACAAUUAUAAACGAAAACAUGGACAAACUAUUCGAUGACAACAAUAAAAUUAAGACUGUAAUAGCACUCAUUAGGAAAAUUGUAAACUCGGAAACCUAAACCACCUAGAGAAAUCAUAUAACGAUGUAUUAAAACAACAACAGCAGGCAAAUAUCGAUAGAUUUAUGCUUAAAAUGAUUAUGAAACUCGACACCGCGAUGCAAACUUUGCACUUUCAGUUAGAUGAGAUACUUAACGUCAUAAUAUUGGGCAAACAGGGAAUAAUUAGCCCACAAAUACUCGACCCCGAUGAAUUUAUAGAAAACUACGUCAAAGCAAUAGGCAACCAGAUGUACAACACCGCGAUAUCUGUCAAAACCAAACAUUUCCAGUUUAUACUCGACAUAAGUGAUCUUAAAAUCUUCACA
rnacentral:misc_RNA from 1 species